GCCGAGCCUUGUAACGUGGGCUUGUGACCCGAGUGGGGGCAUAAAGAUGAUGUGACAUUGAUUUAGCUGCAAAGGGUUGGGUUCGAUGUGGCAAAUUUCUAGCCUGCCCAUUCCAAGCUGAGAGUUGUCUCAUAUGGUUCUUGCGAAAGCUUGGACCAUCUGAAUCCUAGAGCGGAGGGCACUGCGUCAGGUUGGCUUUACAGAGCAACGAUAACCUCUCGCUCCUAGCAGUAGAAGGAUAAUGGGCUAGUACUGUUUAGAUUCGGAUGGCACAAUGGGCUGGUCUAACUUUUACAUCU
rnacentral:SRP_RNA from 1 species